AUCCCCUCUGCCACAGUUUGGGGUGCAUUCGUGUUGUGGUUUCACCCCAGCCAGCAUAAAAGAACCACCCUGCCCCUCCCUGACAGCCCCAGCAGCAGGACUGGGCAGAGAAAGGGAGGAGUAAAAGUGGAAAAGCCCAUGGGUUGAGGUAAGGAAGGUAAAUCAAAAGCUGUGUGCGCAAGCAAAGCAAAUAAGGAAUUUGUUCCCCAUUUCUGGGCAGGUAGAUGUUCAGCCAUCCCAGGAAAGCUGGGCUCUGUCUCAGGCUAGGGAGGACAAACAGCAUACCCCUGAAUGUCCCCCCUUCCCCUCCUCUUCCCCAGCCUCGUACACUGAGCAUGAUGCCAUACAGUCUGGAAUUAUCCCUGGCCACCCUGUGUGCCCCCAAGCUGUUGUGCACCCUCAGCCUCCUCACUGGGCUGGGGUGAGAAGCAGGAAUUACCUCGAUGCUGUGUAAGCACUGCUCAGCAGUAACAAAAACAUCUCUGCAGCAUCAAUUCUACUUUCAGGGCAGACCCAAAACACAGCCCCACCAGCACUGGGAAGAGAACUGACCCUACCCCAUCCAAAGGCAGCCCACUGUGGGAAAUGCAGCCCCUCAUGCAGAGCCCCUGCUUCUCCCCCUUCUCCAUGAAGUGCCAGCCAUUUGUGAUUAGAGUCCCACCUGUCACCAGGUUUCAGAGGAAUGCAGAGUGGAUUCGUUUUACAGUAUCAGAACCAGCUGCUCACAAAAAUAGCUUUCUGUCUCCCAAGGUCUCGUAAUCAUUUCAGGAGACAAGCAGAGAAGAGGAUAUCUCAGCUGACACCGGAGAGCACAAAUGUUGACACAAAUAUGAAUCUGAAUUUUCUGACAGCAGUUGAUUGUGUUGCUUUAGAAGGUUUAACAGACAUGCCACUCAGCCGACAAGGCCCUGUUUAAUGCUUCACUGUGCUGCUGAUCUCAGGCCUUUCAUUCUGCACCAGUGUCAUCCUCACCAUGGAAUGAGAGGCAGACUCUCCCCACAGUAAAUAAAUACAGCAAUAUUAUUGGAGAUGCGGGAAAGCAUCUGUGAAAUAACUGUAAUCAUCACAAAUCAGGGCAGCAAUACCAGGAAAACACGGUGGCAUGGGAGUCAUCCUGCACCACACAAACCUGGCAGGAGCACAGCUACUCCACAAUGCAACGUGUCCCUCAGCUGGGUGGCUGGAGCUGGAGGAAGAUGAGCAAACCUGGCUUGAGAAUGUACACAUAGCACCACGGUGUCACCUGCAGGUGAGGUGUGGCUUCCUCCUUGUCAUGCCAGGCCCAUGGAUGAACUGCCCCGCCAGCACAGCCCAGCCAGGCUGCAGCAAGAUCUGGUCAGUGCAGCACUCCCUGCUGGGUUGGAAACACAGUAGGAAGACCCAGGGAUGGGGAACUAUUGUUUUUACAGUGUUGAGUGCUACAGAAGGUCUGUACUCGAUAAAUAAUUUUUAGACAAUGUGGGAAUUGCUGAAAACUUGGGAAAAAGUCGUGAAGAACUGGAAAUAUGUCUGUACUUUCAGUGGCAGGCACUGGAAGGGGGUGCUCAGUGUUACACAGCUUAGUGACCCGACAUAGCUGAUGACAAGGCUUUCUUGGAGUGUUGUGCUUCUAGAAAAACACCUUUCAACCUUCUGGCUCUACAGUUAUGCCAAACUUGCAAGCUCUUUAUUGCUAAAAUCACAACAUAACACUCCAAAAUCCCCUUUUCCUGCAAGGCAGAAAUGCUGCAAACCUAAGAAGAACAUGAUGUUGCUCUUGCAGUUAUAUCUGAGCACCCACAGUAACAGGGCAUUGCUGCAGCACUUGGGCAUCAAGAGGUUCUGUGCCCUGUCACAUCAGGGCCUGUGGAGAACUGGCAAUUCCCACAGGAUCUGCAAUCCCUGGCUAAUGACCACUCUCUUUUUAUACCUUUAAGGGAAGAAAGGAUGGAUGGGCUUUCUCUGCGCAGGCAAAGGAAAAAGGGAAAG